rnacentral:rRNA from 1 species
GAUGAACGCUAGCUACAGGCUUAACACAUGCAAGUCGAGGGGUAACGAGAAGAAAGCUUGCUUUCCUUGUCGACGACCGGCGCACGGGUGAGUAACGCGUAUCCAACCUGCCCCCAACUAGGGAAUAACCUUGCGAAAGUAAGACUAAUACCCUAUAAUUUCCUCAGAUGACAUCUGACGAGGAAUAAAGAUUUAUCGGUUGUGGAUGGGGAUGCGUCUGAUUAGCUUGUUGGCGGGGUAACGGCCCACCAAGGCAACGAUCAGUAGGGGUUCUGAGAGGAAGGUCCCCCACAUUGGAACUGAGACACGGUCCAAACUCCUACGGGAGGCAGCAGUGAGGAAUAUUGGUCAAUGGGCGGAAGCCUGAACCAGCCAAGUAGCGUGCAGGAUGACGGCCCUAUGGGUUGUAAACUGCUUUUAUACAGGAAUAAAGUGAGUCUCGUGAGACUUUUUGCAUGUACCUUAUGAAUAAGGACCGGCUAAUUCCGUGCCAGCCGCCGCGGUAA